GAUGAACGCUAGCGGCAGGCUUAAUACAUGCAAGUCGAGGGGCAGCACGAAUAGCAAUAUUUGGUGGCGACCGGCAAACGGGUGCGGAACACGUACGCAACCUUCCUUUAAGUGGGGAAUAGCCCGGGGAAACCCGGAUUAAUACCCCGUAAUAUUAUGAUGUGGCAUCACUUUAUAAUUAUAGAUUCAUCGCUUAAAGAUGGGCGUGCGCCUGAUUAGGUAGUUGGCGGGGUAACGGCCCACCAAGCCUUCGAUCAGUAACUGGUGUGAGAGCACGACCAGUCACACGGGCACUGAGACACGGGCCCGACUCCUACGGGAGGCAGCAGUAAGGAAUAUUGGUCAAUGGACGCAAGUCUGAACCAGCCAUGCCGCGUGGAGGAUGAAGGUCCUCUGGAUUGUAAACUUCUUUUAUUUGGGAAGAAAUGUGAAAAUUCUUUUUCACUUGACGGUACCAGAUGAAUAAGCACCGGCUAACUCCGUGCCAGCAGCCGCUGUAAC
rnacentral:rRNA from 1 species